rnacentral:lncRNA from 1 species
CGGCACCGCCCCCCGCGGUUCUCUGCUUCCCGGAGGGAGCCGAGCUCCCGGUGUCCCCGGGGAGGGCGAGCCCCCAGGCUACCGGGUGGCCCUGGCCCAGUCCCCAGCCGGCGGGAGCGAGGGGAAGGCUCUGACGGGCGGGCGUCGGGUGUCCUGGCGCUUCCCUGUGGACUGACCCCGAGCGCGAAAAGAUUCAACUACGUCGGAAGAAGAACAUGCCAUUUUGUAGUUUGCCAAAUGAAGUACAGCUCCAACUCUGCCAGACCACAAUCUAUCGAGAGGAUCUCACUGUGCUCUGUGAUGGGGUCUGUUUCUCCAGUCCUGGAUUCUAGUAUCCUGCCUUUUCACAUGGGCCCAUUCUAGAAGCAUCUUGAGUUGGCCUUUUUGAAUUGUAACCAUCUUGGGUUUAUGUGUCCUUUUCAUGAGACUCUUUGAAAUGUGAUAAGGUAAGUAGCUACCUGCUUUAUCUGUACUAAGCCUGGGCCUUUGCUCAGAUAUAUUUUUUAAAUAAUGCCUAAACUUCCU